AUUGAACGCUGGCGGCAUGCCUUACACAUGCAAGUCGAACGGUAACAGGUUAAGCUGACGAGUGGCGAACGGGUGAGUAAUACAUCGGAACGUGCCCAGUAGUGGGGGAUAGCCCGGCGAAAGCCGGAUUAAUACCGCAUACGACCUAAGGGUGAAAGGGGGGGAUCGCAAGACCUCUCGCUAUUGGAGCGGCCGAUGUCAGAUUAGCUAGUUGGUGGGGUAAAAGCUCACCAAGGCGACGAUCUGUAGCUGGUCUGAGAGGACGACCAGCCACACUGGGAGUGAGACACGGCCCCGACGCCUACGGGAGGCAGCAGUGGGGAAUUUUGGACAAUGGGCGCAAGCCUGAUCCAGCCAUGCCGCGUGCGGGAAGAAGGCCUUCGGGUUGUAAACCGCUUUUGUCAGGGAAGAAAUCCUUUGGGUUAAUACCUCGGGGGGAUGACGGUACCUGAAGAAUAAGCACCGGCUAACUACGUG
rnacentral:rRNA from 1 species